rnacentral:rRNA from 1 species
UUUAAAUUGAGAGGUUGAUCCUGGCUCAGGACGAACGCUGGCGGCGUGCCUAACACAUGCAAGUCGAGCGAUGAAGCUUCCUUCGGGGAGUGGAUUAGCGGCGGACGGGUGAGUAACACGUGGGUAACCUGCCUCAAAGAGGGGGAUAGCCUCCCGAAAGGGAGAUUAAUACCGCAUAACAUUAUUUUAUGGCAUCAUAGAAUAAUCAAAGGAGCAAUCCGCUUUGAGAUGGACCCGCGGCGCAUUAGCUAGUUGGUGAGGUAAGGGCUCACCAAGGCGACGAUGCGUAGCCGACCUGAGAGGGUGAUCGGCCACAUUGGAACUGAGACACGGUCCAGACUCCUACGGGAGGCAGCAGUGGGGAAUAUUGCGCAAUGGGGGGAACCCUGACGCAGCAACGCCGCGUGAGUGAUGAAGGUUUUCGGAUCGUAAAACUCUGUCUUUAGGGACGAUAAUGACGGUACCUAAGGAGGAAGCCACGGCUAACUACGUGCCAGCAGCCGCGGUAAUACGUAGGUGGCAAGCGUUGUCCGGAUUUACUGGGCGUAAAGAGUAUGUAGGUGGGUGCUUAAGUCAGAUGUGAAAUUCCCGGGCUUAACCUGGGCGCUGCAUUUGAAACUGGGCAUCUAGAGUGCAGGAGAGGAAAGUGGAAUUCCUAGUGUAGCGGUGAAAUGCGUAGAGAUUAGGAAGAACACCAGUGGC